rnacentral:rRNA from 1 species
AGAGUUUGAUCCUGGCUCAGGAUGAACGCUAGCGGCAGGCCUAACACAUGCAAGUCGAGGGGCAGCAUAAAUAAAGCUUGCUUUAUUGGUGGCGACCGGCGCACGGGUGAGUAACGCGUAUGCAACCUACCUUAUACUGGGGGAUAGCCCGAAGAAAUUCGGAUUAAUACCCCAUAGCAUUAAGACUCUGCAUAGAGAUUUAAUUAAAGCUCCGGCGGUAUAAGAUGGGCAUGCGUCCCAUUAGCUAGAUGGUAAGGUAACGGCUUACCAUGGCGACGAUGGGUAGGGGGCCUGAGAGGGUGGUCCCCCACACUGGUACUGAGACACGGACCAGACUCCUACGGGAGGCAGCAGUGAGGAAUAUUGGUCAAUGGGCGCAAGCUGAACCAGCCAUGCCGCGUGAAGGAUGAAGGUUCUAUGGAUUGUAAACUUCUUUUAUUUGGGAAUAAACCUCUUGACG